GACGAACGCUGGCGGCGUGCUUAACACAUGCAAGUCGAACGGAAAGGCCCUGCUUUUGUGGGGUGCUCGAGUGGCGAACGGGUGAGUAACACGUGAGUAACCUGCCCUUGACUUUGGGAUAACUUCAGGAAACUGGGGCUAAUACCGGAUAGGAGCUCCUGCUGCAUUGUGGGGGUUGGAGAGUUUCGGCGGUUGGCGAUGGACUCGCGGCUUAUCAGCUUGUUGGUGGGGUAGUGGCUUACCAAGGCUUUGACGGGUAGCCGGCCUGAGAGGGUGACCGGCCACAUGGGGACUGAGAUACGGCCCAGACUCCUACGGGAGGCAGCAGUGGGGAAGAUUGCACAAUGGGCGGAAGCCUGAUGCAGCAACGCCGCGUGCGGGAUGACGGCCUUCGGGUUGUAAACCGCUUUCGCCUGUGACGAAGCGUGAGUGACGGUAAUGGGUAAAGAAGCACCGGCUAACUACGUG
rnacentral:rRNA from 1 species